GACGAACGCUGGCGGCGUGCUUAACACAUGCAAGUCGAGCGAUGAAGUUCCUUCGGGGAUGGAUUAGCGGCGGACGGGUGAGUAACACGUGGGUAACCUGCCUCAUAGAGGGGAAUAGCCUUUCGAAAGGAAGAUUAAUACCGCAUAAGAUUGUAGUACCGCAUGGUACAGCAAUUAAAGGAGUAAUCCGCUAUGAGAUGGACCCGCGUCGCAUUAGCUAGUUGGUGAGGUAACGGCACACCAAGGCGACGAUGCGUAGCCGACCUGAGAGGGUGAUCGGCCACAUUGGGACUGAGACACGGCCCAGACUCCUACGGGAGGCAGCAGUGGGGAAUAUUGCACAAUGGGGGAAACCCUGAUGCAGCAACGCCGCGUGAGUGAUGACGGUCUUCGGAUUGUAAAGCUCUGUCUUCAGGGACGAUAAUGACGGUACCUGAGGAGGAAGCCACGGCUAACUACGUGCCAGCAGCCGCCGUAA
rnacentral:rRNA from 1 species